UAGGGAAUCUUCCGCAAUGGGCGAAAGCCUGACGGAGCAACGCCGCGUGAGUGAUGAAGGUCUUCGGAUCGUAAAACUCUGUUAUUAGGGAAGAACAAAUGUGUAAGUAACUAUGCACGUCUUGACGGUACCUAAUCAGAAAGCCACGGCUAACUACGUGCCAGCAGCCGCGGUAAUACGUAGGUGGCAAGCGUUAUCCGGAAUUAUUGGGCGUAAAGCGCGCGUAGGCGGUUUUUUAAGUCUGAUGUGAAAGCCCACGGCUCAACCGUGGAGGGUCAUUGGAAACUGGAAAACUUGAGUGCAGAAGAGGAAAGUGGAAUACCAUGUGUAGCGGUGAAAUGCGCAGAGAUAUGGAGGAACGCCAGUGGCGAAGGCGACUUGCUGGUCUGUAUCUGACGCUGAUGUGCGAAAGCGUGGGGAUCAAACAGG
rnacentral:rRNA from 1 species